UCUAUGUUCUAUAUGUAGUUGAGUUCUUCCAUUAUCCCAAAUGUUUCCAACAAUGUUCAAACUCAGAGAAAUCUGUCAUUUUAUUCAGGUAACGCUGCGUUUCACCGGUCGCCUGUCGAUGGCGUCAUAUCCCCUUUGUGCCUGCGUCAGCGUUGUGGUUGUCUGCCAGAAGCUGUCAUACAUUGACUGUUGAUCCAGUGUGAAGCCACAUUGUUACCAUCCUCUGUUUAGAUCUUGGUGCUUUUUAACUCUAGAUUUGAACCGGAUGAAGGAUUUUAGUCAUCGGACGUCUGGAUCUUAAGUUAUCAGAGAAACAAGCUGAGCUAACGUUAGCAGCAGCUCGGCUCGCAGCCCCUCCCGGGACGUCCUUUGUCUGUCCAACAGCGUGGGAGAAGCAGUGAUUGUUAAGGUGGAACUGCUUUAUUCAGUGUGUUUAAGGUGGAACUGCUUUAUUCAGUGUGUUUAAGGUGGAACUGCUUUAUUCAGUGUGUUUAAGGUGGAACUGCUUUAUUCAGUGUGUUUAGUGGUUUUAAUCAGCGGGUCUGUUUGUGUUGGAGAGGAGGAGACCUCUGUGGAUCAUUGGGCUCCCGGUAGAAACCUCCUGAACCAUGAACACUGAAGGAAUCCUAACCGGGAGAAGCUGACUGCAAUGACGCCAAUGGUGGUGAAGACAACAACUCCCAUGAUCCCUCACUGCUUCACCACCUCAUCACACUUCCUGUUUUGUCAUUGUGUUGAUGUGAGAGACCCCCUAGACUGUAUGUACAUCCUGAAAUCCAACACUACUGUAUUUAGUCUCAGUCGAGCUCUUGUACAGACUGCAGCUGUUUUUAUGGACAAAAGCAAGAUGGAGGUUUUCAAACUGCCUUUGACGCCUGCAGGAGGAGAGUAUUUAUAUUCCUUUAAGACGGUUACAAAGUGAGAGCAACCAAAGCCAGACUCAGCUUCCAUACAUGGAUAUCACCUGACACCUUGUGUGUGUGUGUGUGUGUGUCUGUGUGUGUGUGUGUGUGUGAGAGAGGCUCACCUCUGUGCAGGAUAUCCUGUUGGGGAAAUAAAGACACAGGAUGGGUAAAGUUACAGUCAAGGGAAAUAAAUCAACAACAGUCCCACUGCAACUGCUUUCAGUGCUUCCUGAGGGAGAUAUGGGAUUCACAGCACAGAAAUAUACAUUUUGUUUAUUUGUUUGUUUAUAUUUAUGUCAAACAUGUAAAAGAGAAGAAGACAAACUAUAUGUUCGAAAACAUGUGUUUGCAAAUUAAAGUCUAUUCUGUGCUCACUGAG